rnacentral:rRNA from 1 species
AGAACGAACGCUGGCGGCAUGCCUAAUACAUGCAAGUCGAACGAACUCUUCGGAGUUAGUGGCGCACGGGUGCGUAACGCGUGGGAAUCUGCCCUUGGGUUCGGAAUAACAGUUGGAAACGACUGCUAAUACCGGAUGAUGACGAAAGUCCAAAGAUUUAUCGCCCAGGGAUGAGCCCGCGUAGGAUUAGCUAGUUGGUGAGGUAAAGGCUCACCAAGGCGACGAUCCUUAGCUGGUCUGAGAGGAUGAUCAGCCACACUGGGACUGAGACACGGCCCAGACUCCUACGGGAGGCAGCAGUAGGGAAUAUUGGACAAUGGGCGAAAGCCUGAUCCAGCAAUGCCGCGUGAGUGAUGAAGCCUUAGGUUGUAAAGCUCUUUACCGAGAUGAUAAUGAACAGUAUCGGGAAGAAUAAGCCCCGGAUAACUCCGUGCCAGCAGCCGAC